UACAGAGGGGGCAAGCGUUAUUCGGAAUUAUUGGGCGUAAAGGGCGCGUAGGCGGCUUGGCAAGUGGAUGGUGAAAUCCCUCGGCUUAACCGAGGAACUGCCGUCCAAACUGCUUCGCUUGAGACCGGGAGAGGUGAGUGGAAUUCCCAGUGUAGCGGUGAAAUGCGUAGAUAUUGGGAGGAACACCAGUGGCGAAGGCGGCUCACUGGACCGGUACUGACGCUGAUGCGCGAGAGCGUGGGGAGCAAACGGG
rnacentral:rRNA from 1 species